rnacentral:tRNA from 1 species
GCGGGAAUGGCGGAAUGGCAGACGCGCAAGAUUUAGGAUCUUGUGGGGCGACCCGUGGGGGUUCGACUCCCCCUUCCCGCACCA